rnacentral:rRNA from 1 species
AUUGAACGCUGGCGGCAGGCCUAACACAUGCAAGUCGAGCGGAUGACGGGAGCUUGCUCCUUGAUUCAGCGGCGGACGGGUGAGUAAUGCCUAGGAAUCUGCCUGGUAGUGGGGGACAACGUUUCGAAAGGAACGCUAAUACCGCAUACGUCCUACGGGAGAAAGCAGGGGACCUUCGGGCCUUGCGCUAUCAGAUGAGCCUAGGUCGGAUUAGCUAGUAGGUGAGGUAAUGGCUCACCUAGGCGACGAUCCGUAACUGGUCUGAGAGGAUGAUCAGUCAAACUGGAACUGAGACACGGUCCAGACUCCUACGGGAGGCAGCAGUGGGGAAUAUUGGACAAUGGGCGAAAGCCUGAUCCAGCCAUGCCGCGUGUGUGAAGAAGGUCUUCGGAUUGUAAAGCACUUUAAGUUGGGAGGAAGGGCAGUAAGCGAAUACCUUGCUGUUUUGACGUUACCGACAGAAUAAGCACCAGCUAACUCUGUGCCAGCAGCCGCCGUAAAAC